rnacentral:lncRNA from 1 species
GAGAGGAGAAAGAUUGGGAUUCAACACACAUCGAUUAUGCUCAGAGGCUGGGUUUAAGUACAGGUUGCUGUCAUCAGCCGAGCCAAGAUCGUGGGUAUGCCACUACCUCAGGACGUGCACCACUAGCUAUACAACUGUUGCACGAUCCGUAGUAUACCGUAUGGCGAGCUAUACAAGGUGCAUACGGUAUAGAACUACCUAGUCUAACACCCCCCGCAGUCGUGACGUCGGUACCAGCGACGCAAAGACUGGACCGGAAUUCAGAGAAAACUUCCGUCGACAGACCUUUGGUCAUGAUAUCAGCGAGCUGUUGGCGAGUGGGGAUGUGAAGAACACGGAACUCGCCGAGCGCCACCCGUUCGCGGACAAAGAGGAUGUCAAGCUCGACGUGCUUCGUGCGGCGGUGAUGUACUGGAUUGGCAGACAGGUACACGGCUGACACAUUGUCGCAGUAGACGAGCGUGGCCUUGUCGACGGGGCAGAAGAGCUCGCCGAGGAGCUGCCGGAGCUAGAUGCAUUCAGCGACGGCGUUGGCGACACCGCGGUACUCGGCCUCUGCACUGGAGCGAGAGACGACGGCCUGGCGUUUGGACGACCAGGAGACAAGCGCGUCACCGAGGUAGAUGCAGAAUCCGGAGGUAGAGCGACGGGUGUCUGGACAGCCCGCCCAGUCCGCGUCCGUGAACGCGCGCAGGUCCAGAGUACGCGAGGCGCGCAGAUGGAGCCCGAGCGCCGGCGUGCCGCGCACGUACCGCAGCACACGCUUGAUCAACCCGAGAUGGCACUCCCGGGGAUCUUGCAUAUGCAAGCAGAUCUGUUGGACGGCGUAGGCAAGCUCGGGCCGUGUGAUCGUUAGGUACUGCAGGGCGCCGGCGAUGCUGCGGUAGGCGGAGGGGUCGUCGACACGAGGCCCAUCGGCGGUGGGCAGCUUGCUCUUCGUGUCGAUCGGCGUGGGCGAUGGCCGACAAGUGUCCAUGCCAGCGCGGUCCAGGAUAUCGGCGGCAUACUGCUGCUGACAGAGGAAGAAGCCGGCCAGCGUGCGCGUGACGCGGAUGCCGAGGAAGAAGUGAAGCACCCCGGGAUCCUUCAUGGCAAACUCAGCGGUAAGCUGGGCGACGACGUGGCGAAGGGCGGCGACAGAUGACGCCGUGAGCACGAUGUCAUCGACGUAGAGAAGAAGAAGGGCAGUGUCGCAGUCGUGGCGUCGAACGAAGAGCGAAGAGUUGGACCGCGUGGCGACGAAGCCGAUGGUCUUGAGGAAGCCAGCAAACCGAAGGAACCACGCGCGCGGCGCUUGCUUCAAGCCGAAGAGGGACUUGGAGAGGCGGCAGACGUGGUGUGGGCGAUCGGCGUCGACGAAGCCAGCGGGCUGAAGGCAGAAGACCUCCUCAUCCAGCGUACCGUGGAGGAAUGCAUUGGAUACAUCAAGCUGAUGAACUGGCCAGCCGCGCGAGGCAGCCAGGGUGAGCACGGUGCGGAUGGUAGCGGGCUUGACGACCGGCGAGAAGGUCUCGCCGUAGUCGACGCCGGCACGCUGGCGAAAUCCUCGCACAACCUAGCGGGCCUUGUAGCGCUCGAGGGAGCCGUCGGCGUUGUACUUGUGCUUGAAGACCCAUUUGCCGGUGAUGAGGUUGGCGCCGGGCGGACGUGGCACGAGCUCCCAGGUGCGGUUGCGCACAAGGGCGGUGAACUCAUCACGCAUGGUGGCGAGCCAGUUGGGGUCGCGGACGGCUACGCCUACGGAGGCAGGGACCGGCGAAACCUCGCCGGACGUGCUUGUAGUGGCGGCGAGGCUGUUGUGGUAGCGCGGAUUGGGGCGGAAGACGCCAGUCUGCACGCGCGUGACCAUCCGCCGGGGCGCUGCAGGAGGAGCGGCCGGAGGAGAAGCCGCGGGCGAGGAAGACGACGAAGAGCGCACUGGGGAGGCAGGCGAGACGCUGGUGGAGCAGGAGGUUGCAGCCGAGCCGUCCAUCGAAGGAUCAACGCCCCCCAGCGACUGCAUGGCGGGGAGGCGGGAGCGCGAGGUCGAGGCAGCGCCCGACAGGUUAGCGCUCCUACGUGACUGCAUGGCGAGGGGGCGUGGGUCCGCGCCCGAGCCGUCCGAUGGAGAUCCAGCGGGCGAGUUUGAACGCGCGGCAUGCGCGCGCGAGGCACUCGACGUGGAGCGCACCGGCGACGAGCCAGCAGCCAUGCGUGGAGAAGAGCACAGCGCGCGAUUACGGAGGCGCCGCUCACCCAUAGGAACCUGCAAAACGGGAGGAGCAAACGCAGGCGGUGGUGGAGCGGCGGGGUUAACUGUGGGUUGUGUGGCGAAGGGGAAGAUCGACUCGUGGAAGCGCACAUGGCGAGACGUGAGCAUGCGGCGCGUCGUGGGGUCGAAACACCGAUAACCGCGAUGGUCAGACGGGUAGCCAAGAAAGAUACACGCGGUGGAGCGAGGAGCAAGUUUGUGUUUGGCCGUGGCAGUGAGGUUUGGAUAGCAUAGGCACCCGAAGACGCGUAGGAGGGAGUAGUCAGGAGCGACACCUAGGAGAAGCUCAUGGGGCGUGCGUGGUGUGCUAGCAUGACAUGGCCGGCGAUUGAGAAGAUAGGUGGCUGUGUUGAGGGCUUCGACCCAAAAACGCGCCGGCAUGGAUGCAUGAAAGAGGAGAGCACGCACACUGUCAUUGAGCGUCCAGAGGAUGCGCUCGGACUUCCCGUUCUGCUGGCUUGUGUAAGGACACGAGAGCCGGAGAUGAGUGCCGUGGCGACUAAGGAGAGACCGAACGGCAGCAUUGUCGAAUUCACGCCCGUUGUCGGUUUGGAGCGAGAAAACAGGAAGCUGAAACUGUGUUUUGACAUAAGCGUAGAAAUCAAGCAAAACAGGGAGCACUUCCGAUUUGUGUUUGAGGGGAAACAUCCACACGUAAUGUGUGUAGUCAUCUAGCACAACCAAAUAAAACUGAUAGCCAGAGAUGCUCGCAACAGGAGAUGUCCAUACAUCAAGAUGCAGUACAUGAAAGGGAAACAUGCUGGUGCUGGUAGAGCUGCUAAAUGGCAGGCGGACGUUCUUGCCCAAACUACAUGCAUGACACGAAUGGGGGGUGGACUUGCUGAAGCUAAGAAGAUCGGCGCCCAGACGGAGCGAAGCGUGCCCGAGCCGCUGAUGCCACAAGGUGGAGUCGACGAAACCGGCGAAGGCCGAACGCGAGGGGAGCGUCGGGCGACCAACAGAGUAGAGAUCACCGUCAGAGUCACAUCGGAGGAUCACCACCUUGGUUCGAAGGUCCUUGACAGAGAAGCCAAAAGCGUCAAAUUCGACAGAAACGGGAUUAUCACGACAAAUGCGGCGUACUGAAAGUAAGUUUGUAAUGAGAAAGGGAGAAACAAGGACGUUGCGGAGUUGGAUAGGUGAUGUGCCCUCGAUGAGAGCACCGUCACCGACGUGGGUGAUCGGUAGGUGAGCUCCACUGCCAACAAUGAUAUGAGAGGGGGAGUGACAUGGACGGAGGGAAUGGAGGUUACCAGGCGAUGAGGACAUGUGAGAGGAGGCCCCGGAGUCGAGGUACCAUUCGGAAGCCAUGCCCGACGAAGAAGGCCCGGCCGUGGCACUGUGGAGCACCGCCUGGAGGGACUGCAUGUCCCAUGGCUGAGGCGACGGCGCGGUGGACGAGCUGGCGCCCGGGGAGCCAUAGCCAUGGAAGGGGCCGCCAGGAUAGCCGUAGCCAGGAGGCGGUCCACCAGGGGCGCCGUAGCCGGGCGGCAUAGGCGCAGCGAACAUGGCCUGCUGGUGAGGCGUGCCGGGGCGCGGUCCGAGGAUGCCGGCGCCCGGAGCGCGCCAGGGCGUGGGCCAGGCCUGGACGAGCCCCGUCUAGGAGUUGGCACCAGGAGCCGGCGCGGGUAGGUAGGUGGACGCGGUGGCGCGCCAGUGGGUGGUGCAGGGGCGUUGCCGUUCCCGCGGCCGCGACGGCGCGAGCGGCCACGGCCACGCGCGGCGUCUGCAAGCGGCGAAGGAGUUGGUGUAGUAGGUGCGGGGGAGCCGCGCCCAGCGUAGAGAGCGUGGGCAGACUGCUGCCGAGCCGCCUGCUCAGCACGAUGCUCCUCCAAAAGAAGGAAGGAGCGCACCUGGAGAAACGUCGGGAGCGGGUUCUGGCAGGUGAUGUGCGGGAUGACGGCGUGGUACUGGCGGUUGAGGCCGCGGAGGAGAUGGAAGACCUGCCGUGGGUCAGUUACCGGCUGGCCCAGAUCACGGAGUUGGUCGGCGAAGGUCUUGAGCUUGGUGCAGAAUUGCAUCACCGUCAUGUCGCCCUGGACGAUGGCGUGGUACUCAGCGUCGACGUACACCGCGCGGGCCAUCUGGUUGUUGCGGAAGAGCUCGUCGACGGCGAGCCACACGGUGCGGGCCGUGUCCUCGGGCUGCAUGAUCGCAUCGAGGAGCUCCGGCGAGAUGGUGGCAUACAGCCAGUGGAUGACGGUGUGGUCGGCCAUCUGCCACUCGGGGUCGGUGGGGCGUGGAACCGCCUCGGCGUCGACGUGCGCACGUAGGGCGAACAUGCCAAGCACCGUGUCGAAGUGGCGCCGCCACUGAGCGUGGUUGCCGGCGAGGAGAUCGAGGAUGACAGGAACAUGGCGACGGAUGUCGACGGUCUGGAGGAUGGCGGAGGGAAAGGAGGGAGGUGGCGCGGCGGGCGCGGCCGGCGCGGGUGGGUCGACGUGCUGGAGAGGAGCGGCGUUGAGGACGCCGGCCGCACCGUCGACAGAGGAACGAGGGGAGAGGACGGGGUUGUCGUCCAUGGCGGAAGCGGAAUCGGCGACCGGAGAAAAAGGGUUCUGGUCGCGGGUAUCUGAUACCAUGUUGAGGAGAGGAGAAAGAUUGGGAUUCAACACACAUCGAUUAUGCUCAGAGGCUGGGUUUAAGUACAGGUUGCUGUCAUCAGCCGAGCCAAGAUCGUGGGUAUGCCACUACCUCAGGACGUGCAUCACUAGCUAUACAACUGCUGCACGAUCCAUAGUAUACCGUAUGGCGAGCUAUACAAGGUGCAUACGGUAUAGAACUACCUAGUCUAACACAGAGGAUACACGGCUAGACUACAGCCAGUGCAAGCUAGCUAUACUAGCAGAAGAGGACGUGAACUCAAGGCUACACACACACGCACUAGUAAGAGUGGAGCUCACUUCUACUGCCUUGUACUGAAGCUCAAAAUGACUUGAGUUUAUUUACAUACGAGGGACUAGGGGUCCUUUUAU